CCUACGGGUGGCUGCAGUGAGGAAUAUUGGUCAAUGGCCGGAAGGCUGAACCAGCCAAGCCGCGUGAAGGACGAAGGUGCCAAGCAUUGUAAACUUCUUUUGUCAAGGGACAAAAUCAGGCUCGAGAGCCUGACCGAGGGUACUUGAAGAAAAAGCAUCGGCUAACUCCGUGCCAGCAGCCGCGGUAAUACGGAGGAUGCGAGCGUUAUCCGGAUUUAUUGGGUUUAAAGGGUGCGUAGGCGGGCUGUUAAGUCAGCGGUAAAAGCCCGGGGCUCAACCCCGGCGAGCCGUUGAAACUGGCUGUCUUGAGAUGUCGAGAGGUAUGCGGAAUGCGCAGUGUAGCGGUGAAAUGCUUAGAUAUUGCGCAGAACACCGAUGGCGAAGGCAGCCUCCUGGGACGCAACUGACGCUCAUACACGAAAGCGUGGGGAGCAAACAGGAUUAGAUACCCUUGUAGUC
rnacentral:rRNA from 1 species